rnacentral:rRNA from 1 species
GUAGGUGGCAAGCGUUGUCCGGAAUUAUUGGGCGUAAAGCGCGUGCAGGUGGUUCUUUAAGUCUGAUGUGAAAGCCCCCGGGCUCAACCGGGGAGGGUCAUUGGAAACUGGGGAACUUGAGUGCAGGAGAGGAAAGUGGAAUUCCACGUGUAGCGGUGAAAUGCGUAGAUAUGUGGAGGAACACCAGUGGCGAAGGCGACUUUCUGGCCUGUAACUGACACUGAGGCGCGAAAGCGUGGGGAGCAAACAGGAUUAGAUACCCUGGUAGUCCACGCCGUAAACGAUGAGUGCUAAGUGUUGGGGGGUUUCCGCCCCUCAGUGCUGCAGCUAACGCAUUAAGCACUCCGCCUGGGGAGUACGGUCGCAAAGACUG